ACCUCGAUGUCGGCUCGUCGCAUCCUGGGGCUGGAGUCGGUCCCAAGGGUUGGGCUGUUCGCCCAUUAAAGCGGUACGCGAGCUGGGUUUAGAACGUCGUGAGACAGUUCGGUCCCUAUCCGCUGCGUGCGUAGGAAAUUUGUGGAGGGCUGUCCUUAGUACGAGAGGACCGGGACGGACGAACCUCUGGUGUGCCAGUUGUACCGCCAGGUGCAUGGCUGGUUGGCUACGUUCGGGAAGGAUAACCGCUGAAAGCAUCU
rnacentral:rRNA from 1 species